rnacentral:RNase_P_RNA from 1 species
CCUGGUUCGCGGACUACUACGGGGUGCUCUGAGGAAACACCACCCUCCGCAUAGCCCAGAGCCCCGCAAGGGGCUAGGGUAAUACCCUAGGCUCUGGCACAGAGACGAUAUGGCUGCAAGUCGAUGAGGAUGAGGUGGUAAGACCCUCUAGGUAACUAGAGGGUAGAUAAUCCGCUGACAAGACUUGCAGAUGCAGUGAAACGGCCAACCUCUGGGGAGUAAGGCAAACCCCUGAUGAAGGCUAUGUGAGGGGGUACAACCGCUUAGCCUAAUGUAGUCUACCACAGAAGGUGGGUUAUCGCGAAUCAGG